rnacentral:rRNA from 1 species
UACAGAGGCCCCAAGCGUUACUGAGAAUCACUGGGUUUAAAGGGUGCGUAGGUGGCGCGUUAAGCCCGUUGUGAAAUCCCUGGGCUCAACCCAGGAAUUGCUUCGGAUACUGGCGUGCUUGAGGCUAGUAGGGGUCACUGGAACUGACGGUGGAGCGGUGAAAUGCGUAGAUAUCGUCGGGAACGCCGAUGGUGAGGACAGGUGACUGGGCUAGUUCUGACACUGAGGCACGAAAGCGUGGGGAGCGAACGGG